GACGAACGCUGGCGGCGUGCCUAAUACGUGCAAGUAGAACGCUGAAGGAGGAGCUUGCUUCUCCGGAUGAGUUGCGAACGGGUGAGUAACGCGUAGGUAACCUGCCUGGUAGCGGGGGAUAACUAUUGGAAACGAUAGCUAAUACCGCAUAACAGUAGAUAUUGCAUGAUAUCUGCUUGAAAGGUGCAAUUGCAUCACUACCAGAUGGACCUGCGUUGUAUUAGCUAGUUGGUGAGGUAACGGCUCACCAAGGCGACGAUACAUAGCCGACCUGAGAGGGUGAUCGGCCACACUGGGACUGAGACACGGCCCAGACUCCUACGGGAGGCAGCAGUAGGGAAUCUUCGGCAAUGGACGGAAGUCUGACCGAGCAACGCCGCGUGAGUGAAGAAGGUUUUCGGAUCGUAAAGCUCUGUUGUAAGAGAAGAACGAGUGUGAGAGUGGAAAGUUCACACUGUGACGGUAUCUUACCAGAAAGGGACGGCUAACUACGUG
rnacentral:rRNA from 1 species